rnacentral:rRNA from 1 species
AACGAACGCUGGCGGCAUGCCUAACACGUGCAAGUCGAACGAGAUCUUCGGGUCUAGGGGCGCACGGGUGCGUAACGCGUGGGAAUCUGCCCUUUGGUUCGGAAUAACAGUUGGAAACGACUGCUAAUACCGGAUGAUGACGAAAGUCCAAAGAUUUAUCGCCAGAGGAUGAGCCCGCGUAGGAUUAGCUAGUUGGUGUGGUAAAGGCGCACCAAGGCGACGAACCUUAGCUGGUCUGAGAGGAUGAUCAGCCACACUGGGACUGAGACACGGCCCAGACUCCUACGGGAGGCAGCAGUGGGGAAUAUUGGACAAUGGGCGAAAGCCUGAUCCAGCAAUGCCGCGUGAGUGAUGAAGGCCUUAGGGUUGUAAAGCUCUUUUACCCGGGAUGAUAAUGACAGUACCGGGAGAAUAAGCUCCGGCUAACUCCGUGCCAGCAGCCGCCGUAA